rnacentral:rRNA from 1 species
UACGUAGGGUGCGAGCGUUGUCCGGAAUUACUGGGCGUAAAGAGCUCGUAGGUGGUUUGUCGCGUUGUCCGUGAAAACUCACAACUCAAUUGUGGGCGUGCGGGCGAUACGGGCAGACUGGAGUACUGCAGGGGAGACUGGAAUUCCUGGUGUAGCGGUGGAAUGCGCAGAUAUCAGGAGGAACACCGGUGGCGAAGGCGGGUCUCUGGGCAGUAACUGACGCUGAGGCACGAAAGCUAGGGGAGCAAACAGG